rnacentral:rRNA from 1 species
AACGAACGCUGGCGGCGCGUCUUAAGCAUGCAAGUCGAACGGCAAGAGAGAAGCUUGCUUCUCUCCUAGAGUGGCGGACUGGUGAGGAACACGUGGGUAAUCUACCCUUAAGAUGGGGAUAGCUGCUAGAAAUAGCAGAUAAUACCGAAUACACUCAGCGCUUCAUAAGAGGUAUUGAGGAAAGGAAGCUGCGGCUUCGCUUGAGGAUGAGCUUGCGUCCCAUUAGCUAGUUGGUGAGGUAACGGCCCACCAAGGCGACGAUGGGUAUCCGGCCUGAGAGGGUGAUCGGACACAUUGGGACUGAGAUACGGCCCAAACUCCUACGGGAGGCAGCAGCUAAGAAUAUUCCGCAAUGGACGAAAGUCUGACGGAGCGACGCCGCGUGGAUGAAGAAGGCUGAAAAGUUGUAAAAUCCUUUUGUUGAUGAAGAAUAAGGGGAAGAGGGAAUGCUUCUCUGA